GAACCCCUUGCUUUUAAGGACCUGUCGAAGGGAAAUAGCCUUGUCUUGCUUUCCUGCAAGAGCAUACAUAUUUGAAAGCAAUAUGUGAUAUCCAGUAUUGUGUGGAUCCAACUGAGACAGCUCCUGCAGAAUUUGCUCACCAAGUUGUAGCUUUCCGUGGACAUUGCAAGAACCCAAAAGGGAUCCCAGAACAACCUCAUUCAGAGGCAUUGGCAUCUUCUUGAUCAAAAUCUCUGCUUCUUCUAAACAACCAGCCCGACCCAGAAGAUCCACCAUACAAGCAUAGUGUUCGAUUUUAGGUGUUACAUCAUACUCGGAUUCAAGGUUAUGAAAGUAAUGACGACCUUCAUCAACUAAACCGGAGUGACUGCAAGCACUUAGCACAGCCAUAAAGGUUAAAUCAUCUGGCUUAGCUUCUCGAACCAUGUUGGGAAAUACAUCCAAUACAAUUUUACCUUUUCCAUGCAUUGCCAAACCACAAAGAAUUGCAUUCCACGCCACCACAUUCCUUUCUGGUAGGUACUUGAAAACUUCAUAUGCCAUGUUUAUCCGACCACACUUUGCAUACAUGUCCACCAAAGCCGUGCCCACCAUGAUAUCCAUCUCCCUUCCCAUUGUCUUCAAAGCAUAAACAUGAACCCACCUCCCCAUUACCACGUCCCCGGACUGUGCACAAGCAGAUAAAAUUGAACAAAGA
rnacentral:misc_RNA from 1 species